UACGAAGGGGGCUAGCGUUGCUCGGAAUUACUGGGCGUAAAGCGCACGUAGGCGGCUUUCUAAGUCGGAGGUGAAAUCCUGGAGCUCAACUCCAGAACUGCCUUCGAUACUGGAGAGCUUGAGUCCGGGAGAGGUGAGUGGAACUGCGAGUGUAGAGGUGAAAUUCGUAGAUAUUCGCAAGAACACCAGUGGCGAAGGCGGCUCACUGGCCCGGUACUGACGCUGAGGAGCGAAAGCCAGGGGAGCAAACGGG
rnacentral:rRNA from 1 species